AUGCAGGUUCUCAUAUUUUGAGACCAAGAGGGAACAGGGUGAGAAUCCCUGGCAGUCCCGCUGCUGUGAGCCGGAAUUGGACGGUGCGAACAAAUAGUCACUGCUGUUGUUGGGAAGACGUUCGCUGCCGCCGGCAAAGCCAGAAGACCUGCCUGCAUAAG
rnacentral:ncRNA from 1 species